rnacentral:rRNA from 1 species
UUACUGAGUUUACGCUCUAUAACCCUUUGUGAACAUACCUAUAACUGUUGCUUCGGCGGGUAGGGUCUCCGUGACCCUCCCGGCCUCCCGCCCCCGGGCGGGUCGGCGCCCGCCGGAGGAUAACCAAACUCUGAUUUAACGACGUUUCUUCUGAGUGGUACAAGCAAAUAAUCAAAACUUUUAACAACGGAUCUCUUGGUUCUGGCAUCGAUGAAGAACGCAGCGAAAUGCGAUAAGUAAUGUGAAUUGCAGAAUUCAGUGAAUCAUCGAAUCUUUGAACGCACAUUGCGCCCGCCAGCAUUCUGGCGGGCAUGCCUGUUCGAGCGUCAUUUCAACCCUCAAGCUCUGCUUGGUGUUGGGGCCCUACAGCUGAUGUAGGCCCUCAAAGGUAGUGGCGGACCCUCCCGGAGCCUCCUUUGCGUAGUAACUUUACGUCUCGCACUGGGAUCCGGAGGGACUCUUGCCGUAAAACCCCCAAUUUUCCAAAGGUUGACCUCGGAUCAGGUAGGAAUACCCGCUGAACUUAAGCAUAUCAAUAAGCGGAGGAAAAGAAACCAACAGGGAUUGCC